rnacentral:lncRNA from 1 species
CUGAUUUUUUUCCAAAAUCUUGAAUUCUUUUAUCUUUGUCAAUUCGCUUCGAUUCUUCAAGACUCCGACUCACUUCACGAAACUUGCCAAUACAAAAUCCUUAACAAUCUCCCCCUUUGGCAAUUUCGUGACAAAACUCACACAAACUCAAAAAUUACAAUUUAAAGAGAAAACGAAGUUCAAUGUCAUCACCAAAACACCGAACCCCUCGCGUGUAAUCCAAAUACAAUAUGAAACUCAAAAUUACAUCAAAACUCCUAAAACAGACUCUAUGACUUAGACGCAACUAGGAGUCUUAAAGUCUUGAAAUCCUGCAAAACAAAUCACUCAAAAAUGAUUAGCCUUAAAAUUUUAUACCUUAAAAUUUUAUACCUUCUCCCCCUUUGUUCACAUCUCCUCCUUUCUUCUUAAAUCACCCAUCCUCUGCUUUAGUUUAAUGCCUGAAACAUCCAUGCUCUCCCCCUUCAUCUAUGCUCUCCCCCUUUUUGUCAAAAAUUGCCAAAAGAAAGCAAGUAAAAAGAGAAAACAUACUAGAAAGCAUAAGAGUAGUCUAGUCAUAGUUACAGGCCUAAAACAAAAGUAAAAACAUGCAAAGGAAAGAUAAGCAAGCAUAACUAAAACAUCGCCCUAAACAGUAAAAUGCAGUAAAAGAGAAAGUCUAAGCCCGACUAAGACAUCACUCCGUGUCCUCGUCAUCAUCAUCAUC